rnacentral:rRNA from 1 species
UAUGCUUAACACAUGCAAGUCGAACGGCAGCACGAGAGAGCUUGCUCUCUUGGUGGCGAGUGGCGGACGGGUGAGUAACGCGUAAGAAUCUGCCUAGUAGUGGGGGAUAACUCGGGGAAACUCGAGCUAAUACCGCAUACGCCCUACGGGGGAAAGUGGGGGACCUUCGGGCCUCACGCUAUUGGAUGAGCUUGCGUUGGAUUAGCUAGUUGGUGAGGUAAUGGCUCACCAAGGCGACGAUCCAUAGCUGGUCUGAGAGGACGAUCAGCCACACUGGGACUGAGACACGGCCCAGACUCCUACGGGAGGUAGCAGUGGGGAAUAUUGGACAAUGGGCGCAAGCCUGAUCCAGCAAUACCGCGUGUGUGAAGAAGGCCUGCGGGUUGUAAAGCACUUUCAAUUGUGGAGAAAAGCUUGGGGUUAAUAGCCCCGAGUCUUGACGUUAACUUUAGAAGAAGCACCGGCUAACUCUGUGCCAGCAGCCGCGGUAAUACAGAGGGUGCGAGCGUUAAUCGGAAUUACUGGGCGUAAAGCGUGCGUAGGCGGUUUAGUAAGUCAGAUGUGAAAGCCCUGGGCUUAACCUGGGAACUGCAUUUGAAACUGCUGAACUAGAGUGUGGUAGAGGGAAGUGGAAUUCCGGGUGUAGCGGUGAAAUGCGUAGAUAUCCGGAGGAACACCAGUGGCGAAGGCGACUUCCUGGACCAACACUGACGCUGAGGUACGAAAGCGUGGGUAGCAAACAGGAUUAGAUACCCUGGUAGUCCACGCCGUAAACGAUGUCAACUAGUUGUUGGGAGCAUUCUGGCUUUUAGUAACGUAGCUAACGCGAUAAGUUGACCGCCUGGGGAGUACGGCGCAAGGUUAAAACUCA